rnacentral:rRNA from 1 species
UACGUAGGGGGCGAGCGUUGUCCGGAUUCAUUGGGCGUAAAGGGUGCGUAGGCGGCUCUCUAAGUCGGAUGUGAAAACUCUGGGCUCAACCCAGAGCCUGCAUCCGAAACUGGAGGGCUAGGGUUCUGGAGGGGAAAGCGGAAUUCCUGGUGUAGCGGUGAAAUGCGUAGAUAUCAGGAGGAACACCGGUGGCGAAGGCGGCUUUCUGGACAGAUACCGACGCUGAGGCACGAAAGCUAGGGGAGCAAACGGG